rnacentral:lncRNA from 1 species
UGAUGGAGCUUCUAUCAGACUUGAGUAUCAGAUUGGAGGGUGUGGAGAGCUUCCUUCUGAGAUUCAGUGACAGGAUUUUCGAUAUAGAGAGGGAGAUCAGAUGGAUUAUAGUCUCUCUCUCUGCUGGAGUGGGCACAUCGAUUUUUUCUACACUGUAGAUGGAUGACCUGGCUCGAGAGAUAGAGAGACUCCACAGUCAGCUUCAUUCCUCUCUUGAACUGCUUCGGACAGACAUCAGAGACUCCAGAGACUUUGUAUCUGCUGAUCUAGAUGGGCUCCAACUUACUGUGAGGGGGAUCUUGUCCCACCUUGAUACCAUCAGGACUCAAUUUCAGUCUAGGCCCUCUGCAUCUAGUGAGCUAGCCUUUGUUCAGCCUUUGCUUUCCGUCCUCCGAUUUCUUCCUCUCAGUCCAGACCCUUCGGUCGAGGAUGAGGCUGAUCAUAUCUCACCUUUCUUGAUCUCGUGCUCGAUGCCCAAUUUUCCUGAUUUCAUCAUUUUGUAUUAGGUUACUUAGUUAUAUUUUGUAGAUUGGAUGUAUGAGAGCUUUAUGCUCAUUAUGACUCUUAUAACCUUUCUUUUGGUGUAAAUGAAUGAGGUUGUUUCCAUUUGACUCAUUUCUCUUUUGAUAAA